rnacentral:lncRNA from 1 species
GAGCCGGCUGAUGCGUGCCCUGCGGGGUGCCUACCGUGGCACGUUCAUGUGCAGCGGCGGGUACACGCGGGAGCUCGGCGUGGAGGCCGUCGAGUCCGGGGACGCCGACCUGGUGUCGUACGGGCGGCUGUUCAUCGCGAACCCGGACCUGGUGGAGCGGUUUCGGCGCGACGCCCCGCUGAACAAAUACGUGCGCAAGACGUUCUACACCCCGGACCCCGUCGUCGGUUACACGGACUACCCAUUCCUCGGCCAGCCUAAGGCGCGCAUGUGAUUAGUAGGUUGCUAAUCAUAAGAGGCGGACUAUUGUUUGUGUAUUGUCAAUUGUGACUUGAGAAAAUAAGCAAACAUACGGUACUCCUACU